GAGAAUUAGAGAUCGAUGGACCAAGUUUUGACCUGGUUAAUUCCAGAAGGCUGGAAAAGCCGCCAGAGAUCCAGUGAUUGGAAUCCAUGGCGGAGUCUGCUGGUCACUGACGAAGCCCAGGACAUCAAGGAACCAAUCCUGAGGAGUAACCUCCUUGACCCCGCCCAGUAGUGAAUCAAACCGGCAGCUGAGAUAUAGUAUCCUGCAAGAAAGGCCAGCUGGCCAAUGGAUAGCCCUCUUAAGUUGGGUGCCAUCAUACCAUCUUGGUGAUUGGAGAAAUGGCCUCAGGCGAGAAGAAAAACAGCAGGAGGACCUUUGGUAAUGAGUUAUCAAAGGCCAGUGGCUGGCAAUGGCCCAUGAUGCCGUGGGUGACCUUGGUGUCUUUGAUGUCUGACCAAACUCUAAGUGCUCC